rnacentral:rRNA from 1 species
UACGGAGGGUGCGAGCGUUGUCCGGAAUCACUGGGCGUAAAGGGCGCGUAGGCGGCCGAUCAAGUCGGGGGUGAAAGCCUGUGGCUCAACCACAGAAUUGCCUUCGAUACUGGUUGGCUUGAGACCGGAAGAGGUAAGUGGAACUGCGAGUGUAGAGGUGAAAUUCGUAGAUAUUCGCAAGAACACCAGUGGCGAAGGCGGCUUACUGGUCCGGUUCUGACGCUGAGGCGCGAAAGCGUGGGGAGCAAACAGG